ACUCCUGCGGGAGGCAGCAGUGGGGAAUUUUGGACAAUGGGGGCAACCCUGAUCCAGCAAUGCCGCGUGAGUGAAGAAGGCCUUCGGGUUGUAAAGCUCUUUUGUCAGGGAAGAAACGGUAGUAGCGAAUAACUAUUACUAAUGACGGUACCUGAAGAAUAAGCACCGGCUAACUACGUGCCAGCAGCCGCGGUAAUACGUAGGGUGCAAGCGUUAAUCGGAAUUACUGGGCGUAAAGCGUGCGCAGGCGGUUGUGUAAGUCAGAUGUGAAAUCCCCGGGCUCAACCUGGGAAUUGCAUUUGAGACUGCACGGCUAGAGUGUGUCAGAGGGGGGUAGAAUUCCACGUGUAGCAGUGAAAUGCGUAGAUAUGUGGAGGAAUACCGAUGGCGAAGGCAGCCCCCUGGGAUAACACUGACGCUCAUGCACGAAAGCGUGGGGAGCAAACAGGAUUAGAAACCCUGGUAGUCCCAUGAU
rnacentral:rRNA from 1 species